UUGGACUUGAUUUACAUAUAUAAACAAAUAAAAAGUUACACACCUGCAGUUGCUUCAGCCAGCUGGCAAAUGCCUGAGCAGAAGCUGCAUUCCUGGAUCAUGACAUUUAGCAGAGCACCAGACUUACAUGAACUGCUCACUGAUAUAACUAUUGGCAGCAGCUAGUGCCUAUGCCCCCAUUGGCCUUUCUCCCAUGAAGGUGAGGUACAGCAAGAGGAAGGCCCAGAGCAGCAAAUCCAGCCACCUCUGCUCCUUUUUGCGCAAGCGCCUUGCGUUUGCUCCAGCACAUGGCCCAGGAAAUCCAACCAGUUUAGCAGGAGUGCUUGGGGGUCUCUGUGCAGGAAUUGAUAUGCAGUUGUAUCUGCAGUUGAAAACACAGAUAGCAAAGACAGGGCCUGAUCCUGAAAAGUCUCUGUCUCUAUCUGGUAGAUUGCAUUGGAAGGGGAGAUGAGGGAACAGGAACAUUAAUGACAAGCCCUGACCUCCUUUAAAUCAUUAGCAAACCUUCCUUUGCCUUCUGCACAUGGGCAAAAACCUCAGCUAUUUAAAAUCUGAGCCAGGUGGCAGUUGUGGCCCAGGGUACCCCCUUUGUCGCUACCACACAAGCUGUUCUAGCAUUUCAUCUCCACUGUCAGUUUGUAUACAGCUUGACAAAAAUGGGUUGCCACUGAGGGCCACAGUCAAAGGUAUAAGCUAUGUAAGUUUUCUGUACUAACACCAAAGCUUGUCUCCUUGCCUCCUGUCUGGAAUAUUUUGACACAAAUGGUUCCAUACAUGACAGAUCUAAACUUAAUGUGGGUCAGAGGCAAACUAAAAUCUACAGAUAGCUAUGGCACUGGCAAAAAUCAGAAAUUUCUGUCCGCAAGACUGCAGAAUGGAAAAAUAAUAUGUUAUUAAAGAAGACCUGCAUAGUUUCAAUGGAACAGUAAGUGCUCAGCACUUUCUGAUGAGGGAUUUAGACUUGGACAUGUGAAGAACUGAUGUUAGAAAAUGAUCAAACAUGUUUUUAAUGUGUUUUUAACAGUUAACAUUUCUUGGCAUUGUGUGAAAAGCACUGGUAACUCCUGUGGCAGGAAUGAGAGUUCCCACAUGUUUAAGGUUGGGUAUGUAUUUAAACACUUGACUCGAUUAAAACUUUGGGGCAGUGCAAGUUUCAUUAAUAAUAAUCUAGUGUUUCACCACAGGAUACUCUAAUUGUUCUUCAUCAGGAAGAUGUGAUCCCAGAGACAGAAAGAUUAUGCAUUUAAGAGGCUGAAAUGAUAACAUUCAAAGCACUACCCUACAUGAUAAUGAAUCGCCUGUUCAUCCUGUAGACUUUGAUGAUAGCAAGCAAACUGCAUGCAUGUUGGGCAGCUGCUUUUGGGGAUAGACUUCACCUGGAUUACAGCAAAUCUCUGGAUAGCAACCUAUCAUGGUUUAGGGAUGCACAAAAACUGCUCCCUGCCUUGUGUCUUCUAACCUCUGCUGGAGAACUGGCCAUCCACUACGUGCUAUAGCAUGAGGUGAGACAGCUCCCUACCUCACAGCUUGCCUCCGCCAGCAAGGACAGUGCUGUGUUCUUCCUGUGUGCGGAUGGCAUUCUUACACGACAGGCCACAACAUAGGGCUCUUGUCCGGGAUACUGUCUGCAGGCUGCUGAGGGCAUGCCAAUGUGGGGAAGAAAACGCUGCUUCAUGAAAAAAGGAGUAUGGAAAUGAUAGGGAGUAAAGGACAACAGCAGAAGAAGGACUGACAAUUAGCGCUCAGACACAGACACCUGAAAUGCCUGAAGGCCACCCAAAAUAAAGACAGUGUUGCUAAUUCCAGAGAUGGGACCAGAACAAUAUGUGAAUGUCUCUGGGUGCAGCAUGGAAAGAACAAGAGGUCUGUGGACACAGCAUGCAUGCUUAGAGCCUCACUUCAGUAACCACGUGAAUGCUAAAACACUUCUGUGUCUCGGCCUGGGUAUCUCCCAUCUCAGCGCAAAGGCCUUAAACCUUCCAUUAAGCAUGAUGAAGCUUUGCAGAGUUUGUGUGCAGAGCAUGACAACAUGGUCUGUGCACAAGGGUGGAAAAGAGGAUUUGUCCCUUGUUGUUUUCUGUGGGGAGGGAGAAGGUGUUUGAACAAAGAGCUGGUCAGGGAGACCAGACACCAAUGGCUUCCUACAGUCUGAGGCAUAACAUCCCACCUAUUUUGUUAGAAAUUGCCCUGGUCCUGUCUGAACUUGCUGCUUUUUCUGUCUUUCGUGCCAGUGAUAGGAAUGACAUCAGAAGUGCUGAGUCAUGAGCAGAUGUGCCUCAGACUCUGCCACGUUAGCCCAAACUCUGUGCCCCCUGGUCUUUUGAAACCUUCCUUCAGCAGGCCUCUGGCACACACAUUAAAGGCCAGUUUUUCGACGUCAUCUAGUGCCAGUCAAAAAAGAUGAGAGCUUUUUAAUUGGUUUUAUCUGUCUACAUUUUAUGUUAUCAGUGGUUUCCUUUUCUGCUUGCUUGUCCUUCUCAUCCAUGCAGUUUUGCUUGCUUCUAGGCUGUUUACACUCACAUCAUGUAUGUUAAGAGUUGCCACAUGGUGAUUUGACUUAAACAAAUAAUGUAACAAGUAGCACACAGGAAAUGAAACAGAAAAAUAUUUACGGGAAAUGUAAUUUUGGAGGAACAGGACAUUUAGUGAAAUUUGUUUCAGAUGCUUUGUUUGGAGGCUCUUUUGCUUACAUGUCACAUCAUUUCGUAGGCAGAAGGGGGAAUUUCCCUGUGUCUGUAAUUGUAAGGUUUUUGUAAUAAAACUACAGAAGAGGCCCAAAUGGGAGACCUUGAAAGGCCAGGAUUUCACAAGCAAAAGGUCCGUGUUGAAAAUGCCAUGUUAAUCCUCAGUGAUGUAAUGGAGAAACAAUUAUCUAAGAAGAAGAGCCUUUUCUGGGUUUCUUUUAUUCUAGAUAAAAAUCUGGCUAGCUUGUUCCAGUAAGUGAUGGGUGCACAAAGCCUGCAGCUUGCCCCAGGCCCCAAUACAUCCUCGACAUCCUUGAACCUCAGCAGAGAAGCCUGGUGUUUCUGUGAUGUAGAGCUGGAUGCGAGUUUCUGCCCUUCCAUGCACGGCCAGAGGGGUUAUCAGCCUAGCAAUGCCAUUCACCAUUCCUGCUGCUUGAAACCUGAGUCCCAUUUUGCUCCCACAUGACCCAUGGCAACUAUGCCACUUGGAAAUCAAAACCUCUUCCUGUCUUGGAGCAGGAGAUCUCAGAAGGAGCGAUGUCCUGGGGGAGGGACCUGACAAAGCGCUGGCCCUUCACUACUUCUUGCUCCUCUACCUCAUCCUUCUGUAGAUCUUCAGCUUUCUUAGGGCAUCCUCAGUCCCCUUCUGUUCCCAUCAUAACAAGAUAAGUAGGAUCUCUUACAGGCUCCCUUCUGAGA